CAGAAAGACAAGGGCUAGUUUGUGAGACAAUUCCUUUGCUUGGUUGAAAAUGUUGUUGCUAGUGCAGCCUAGUUACUUAAAUCUGCCUGGAUUUUUGCUGCUACCAGUGGCUGUUCCUGUAAAUUGUAAUGGAUCUAUAAGUCACAUUGAAACGCCAGGGCUGCUUUUCAGUCAUGCUCACCAUACUUCCUUUUCCUGAAGCAAGUAUUCAUGAAGAUUUUCACCUACUCUUUGCAGCCAUUGAAUCUCCAGCUCACAGGAAAGCCACUCUGAAUGAGUCGUGACAAAAAUGUGGCAGGGGAGAGAGCUGGCAGUGAAAAACAGAAAUUCUUGAAAAGUAAUGAAUCUUUCCUAAAAUCAGCCUGUGUGGAACAAGUUAACUUAGGUGAAGCUGAGUUCAUCAGGAUCUGCUCGGUAAAAUUAUAA
rnacentral:lncRNA from 1 species